rnacentral:lncRNA from 1 species
GGUGACAUGGUGGGGAGCUUCCCGUUCACGCUAUCUCAUUUCGCCCCAUUCAGUGAUAAGUGUACGGUUCGUUUGCCCAUUUCCAUGCUGUUCAAUGCCCAGUGGACCCUGGGUGAGAGUGUAAACGUUUUACUUUGCUGCAGUACCGCAUUAUGACAUUUACCCCAGGCAUUGGUAAGUAUACGGUUCGUUUGCCCAUUUCCGUGCCGUUCAAUGCCCAGAGGACCCUGGGGAGGAGCGUAAANNGUAAAAAUUUUACUGUGAUUGAGUGAUAUACGUCCUUUUUGACACUUAUUUUCCAAGUCAAUCGCGCAAAUGUUUUGUAGAACGAUAUAACACGGCUGGCCGGUCACA